GGACUCGUAGCUCAGUUGGAUAGAGCAUUCCCCUUCUAAGGGACAGGUCGCAAGUUCGACUCUUGCCGAGUCCGCCA
rnacentral:tRNA from 1 species